GGGAAGAUGGCUCAGUGGUAGAGUGCUUGUCUUGCAAGCAUGAGGCCAUGGGUUCGAUUCCUCAGCACC
rnacentral:tRNA from 1 species